GCUAACAUCUGUGACAGUCUUCCUCCACUCUGUAUAGGGAUGCCACCACAGCGUGGGUUGAUGAGCGGUGGGUGUGUCCGCACCAGGGACCUGAACCAGCGAACCCUGGGCGGCUGAAGAGGAGCGUGGGAACAUAACCACCCUGCCGCCGGGAUGGCCCCAUCGCGUCUGGCUUGCUUGAAAUAGGCUUCCUGAUUUGGCUCUGAUUGAGGGGACGUGGCUUGAAUACCGGCUCCAACAUCUUCUCGCUGUGUGACUGAACGGGGCAAGUUAUUUAAACUCUCUGCACCCCAUAAAGUAGAACCAAACGUCCCACCGAGAAGACUUCCGGCACAUCGCAUCGCGUGCUUCCAUUUUCUGGAAGCGCAGACCUGAGGAGGCCAGGAAAACCCUGGAAGCUGACUCUGGGACAAACAGAAUGCUGUCGCCCACUGACUGUGAAGGCCACCGCCCACUGUGCAGGCGAGCAGGGCUGCAAGUCCAAGGUUGACCUGUUCCGGUUCUGGAAGUUGGAGAAAACAAGAAUUCACUGGUCCCCGCCUUGUUUGGGCUUUCCUUGUUUAUUGGCGCGCACAGAUUUAUUUCAGGGCUGAUCACCAAUGUAAAGAGACGGAGAAGCACAGCUCUGUGCAGAUGGACUGGAGGGGAAGUGCGCGGUUUCCCUGGAGGUGGAGGUGUGGUGGGAGGGAGAUGGGAGAAUUGGCCUAGAGUCACCGCGACCCGGGCUCCAUGGUGCCCCACUUUUUAGUUUUAAUUUGCUCAUCAUUAGUGCUUUGUGUAUCUCCAUUAAAAAUGUUUAGUAUUUUGAAGUCAUCAAGAUAUUUUCUGACAUUGUAUUCUAAGAAGAAAUUUUGAUUUGCCUUUCAUAGUCCCGUAAUACAAUUGGCAUUAAUUUUUUGUGAACAGUGUGAGAUAGAACUUAGCUCCCUUUUCUUCUGUAGACACACCCUGUAUGUUCCAGCAUACCAUUGCUGUGCUUGUGCGGUGCCGCCUUUGUCAACAUAAAGUGAAUAUGAAUAUGCACAUGGCAUAUUGUUAUACUCUGUUCAUUGGCACGUUUGUCCAUUCUUACAUCAAAACCAUAAUGUUUUAAUUCCUGUAGUUUUAUCAUAAUAUUUGAAAACCUAGAGAAAGUCCUGAUGCCUUAUUCUUUUUCAAGGGUGUCUUGAAUAUUCCUCACCUUUUGAAUAUUCAUAUAAAUUGCAGAAUCCACUUGCCAAAUUCCACUAAACAGUUAAAAUUGUGGUUAGGAUUCCUUGAAUCUACAGAUCAAGUUGUGGAGAAUUGGCAUGUUAUGGUACUUAAUCUUUUAAUGCAUGAACUUGGUGUCUUUAGCCAUUUAUUUAAGUAUUCUUUACUUUCUCUGAGCAACAUUUUAGAAUCUCUAUAUAAGGGCCUUGCAUAUACGUUGUUAGCCUUAACCCUUAAUGUUUGCUAUUUUUGAUGCUUUUAAAGUAAAAUUUUUAAAAAUUCACUUUUCACUACUGGUACAUAGAAAUAAAAUUUAUUUGAAUAUACUGGUCUUUAAUCCAGCAAUUUUGAGCAACUGACAUUAAUUUUAAUAAUUUAACUGUAGAUUCUUUUGGAUUUUCUAUAUAACAAAUUAUAUCAUCCAUAAAUACCAGGAGUGUUACCUCUCUCCUUUAAAUCUUUAUAAUUUUUGUGUUAGAUAUAAAAUAUGGGUGUAGAAUCUUUUUCUGCAUUAGUUAAGACCUCCAGUAUACUACUGAACAGGGGUGAUGACAGUGGACAACCUUUCAUGAUUGCCAAUAACAGAGGGAAAGCUUUCAACAUUACACCUUUAAAUAAAAUGUUUUUGGAUGUAUAUAGAGGCUUCAGUUGACUGACAUUUUAUCAUUAUCUGUGCUUCCCGUUGUUUAUUACAUGUCCUACUUUGUAGCAAUGAC
ensembl:lncRNA